GAUGAACGCUGGCGGCGUGCUUAACACAUGCAAGUCGAGCGAACAGGCCCUGCUCUUGCUGGUUGCUCGAGUGGCGAACGCGUGUGUAAAACGCGAGUAACCUCCCCCUGUCUUUGUGAUAUCAUCUGGAAACACCGGCUCAUACAGGGUAGGAGCUCUUGCUGCACGGUGGGCAUUGGAGAGAUUCGGCGGUGGGGGAUGGACUGGCGGCUUAUCCGCUGGUUGGUGGGGUUGUGGCUUACCAAGCCUUUGACGGGUAGCCGGCCUGAGAGGGGGACCGGCCACAUGGGGACUGAGAUACGGCCCAGACUCCUACGGGAGGCAGCAGUGGGGAAUAUUGCACAAUGGGCGGAAGCCUGAUGCAGCAACGCCGCGUGCGGGAUGACGGCCUUCGGGUUGUAAACCGCUUUCGCCUGUGACGAAGCGUGAGUGACGGUAAUGGGUAAAGAAGCACCGGCUAACUACGUG
rnacentral:rRNA from 1 species